GAGAGUAAACAGUGCGUGAAACCGCUCAGAGGUAAACGGGUGGAGUUGAACUGCGAUCCUUGGGAAUUCAGCUGAUGAGCAUGAUUUGUGCUUGGGCAUAUUGACCGCCUUUCAGUGUCUGCUUAACUGCGGGUGCCUGCCUCUGGUGGGUAUGUGUGGUGCGCUUAUCAUGUGCCGCACGCAUUGGAGGGUGUAUGAGUCUGCUUGUCGGUGCACUUUCUCAGGGUGUUCACCACGACCGGCACUGCUGUCUGUCUGCUUUGGUCAAACUGAUCAGGUCUGAUUAACGUUGGGCUUGGUUGGGUUGGCAGGUGACUCACUGGUCCAUUCUGUGGGCUAUGAGUGUUACUAGCCGGCUUUAGUGGAUCUGUACGGUGUGUCGGAGACGGCGGCUUUGCAUAUGCGCUCUGUCCUUCAGGCGUGGUUGAGUCUGGUCGACUUGUUGCUAGUUUCGGCUGGUCAGUUGAUGGCUUGAUCAUGUUCAGUUGGCAGUGGUGUGUGUGUCUUAGUUUGGGCCAAUAGUCUGUGGUGUUGUGGUAGACUAUCCACCUG
rnacentral:rRNA from 1 species